rnacentral:rRNA from 1 species
CGCCUCUUGCAACCCAUAAGAGGUCCAGCCUGCCCAGUGAUAAAAUUCAACGGCCGCGGUAUCCUAACCGUGCGAAGGUAGCGUAAUCACUUGUUCUUUAAAUGAGGACUAGUAUGAAUGGCACCACGAAGGUUAUACUGUCUCCUCUUUCUAAUCAAUGAAACUGAUCCCCCCGUGAAGAAGCGGGGAUAAAAUUAUAAGACGAGAAGACCCUAUGGAGCUUUAAACUAAUGCAACACUAGCAUUAAUACCACUAUAUUCCAGAAUUAUAAAAACCAUUUCAGCUAGCAUGAUUGCUAGUUUUAGGUUGGGGUGACCAUGGAGCAUAAAAUAACCUCCACGCAGAACGGGACCAUUCCUGAGCCAAAAGCUACGACUUUAAGCACUAAUAAAUUAACAUUAAUUGACCCAAUAUAUUGAUCAACGAACCAAGUUACCCUAGGGAUAACAGCGCA